GGCGCAAUAGCUCAGUGGUAGAGCCCUCGAUCUUCAUGCGAGGGGACUUGGGUUCGAUUCUCGACUGCUCCC
rnacentral:tRNA from 1 species